CCCCGCCUUCGCGCGCACUUCCGCGUGCAUGGCCCUCCUGCGCCGGGCCCUGAGCGGGAACGCCGGGCCGAGCUGGCGGCGGGUGGCGCGCGCCUUCCCCCGCUUCCCGCUGCCUCAGUCGCGGCCCACCCGCGCCGGCUCCCGCGCCAUGGCUUGCAGGCAGGAGCCGCAGCCGCAGCGCCCUCCGCCUGCCGCCGGCGUCGUGGCCUCUUACGACUACCUGGUGAUCGGGGGCGGCUCGGGCGGGCUGGCCAGCGCCCGCAGGGCGGCGGAGCUGGGCGCUAGGGCCGCGGUGGUGGAGAGCCACAAGCUGGGCGGAACAUGCGUGAAUGUUGGAUGUGUACCCAAAAAGGUAAUGUGGAACACGGCUGUCCACUCUGAAUUCAUGCAUGAUCACGUUGAUUAUGGCUUUCAAAGCUGUGAGAGUAAAUUCAAUUGGCGCGUUAUAAAGGAGAAGCGUGAUGCCUAUGUGAGCCGCCUGAACACCAUCUAUCAAAAUAAUCUCACCAAGUCCCAUAUAGAAAUCAUCCAUGGCCAUGCAGCAUUCACUUCUGAUCCGGAGCCCACAGUAGAGGUCAAUGGGAACAAGUACACUGCUCCUCACAUCCUGAUUGCCACAGGUGGCGUGCCCUCACGUCCCCAGGAGAGCCAGAUCCCCGGGGCCAGCCUAGGAAUAACGAGUGAUGGAUUUUUCCAACUGGAAGAAUUGCCUGGCCGCAGUGUCAUUGUCGGCGCGGGCUACAUUGCUGUAGAGAUAGCUGGCAUUCUUUCCGCUCUGGGUUCAAAGACAUCACUAAUGAUACGGCAUGAUAAGGUACUUAGAAAUUUUGAUUCCAUUAUCAGUUCAAACUGCACUGAAGAGCUGGAGAAUUCUGGCAUAGAGGUCCUGAAGUACUCACAGGUCAAGGAAGUGAAGAAGACUCCCUCUGGCUUGGAACUGUGCAUGGUUACCUCAGUUCCUGGUAGGAAACCCACCUUGACCACGAUUCCGGAUGUUGACUGUCUGCUGUGGGCCAUUGGGCGGGACCCAAACUCCAGUGGCCUGAAUUUAAACAAAGUGGGGAUUCAAACUGAUGACAAAGGUCAUAUCAUAGUAGAUGAGUUCCAGAAUACCAGCGUCAAAGGCAUCUAUGCUGUUGGGGACGUGUGUGGAAAAGCUCUUCUUACUCCAGUUGCCAUAGCUGCUGGCCGAAAACUUGCCCAUAGACUUUUUGAAUGCAAAGAAGAUUCCAAAUUAGACUAUGACAACAUCCCCACAGUCGUCUUCAGCCACCCCCCGAUUGGGACAGUGGGACUCACGGAAGAUGAGGCCAUCUAUAAAUAUGGAAAAGAAAAUGUGAAGACCUAUUCAACCACCUUUACCCCAAUGUAUCAUGCGGUUACCAAAAGGAAAACAAAAUGUGUGAUGAAAAUGGUUUGUGCCACUGCAGAGGAAAAGGUGGUUGGGAUCCAUAUGCAAGGAAUCGGGUGUGAUGAAAUGCUGCAAGGUUUUGCUGUUGCGGUUAAAAUGGGGGCAACAAAAGCUGACUUUGACAACACGGUUGCUAUUCACCCGACCUCUUCAGAAGAACUGGUCACACUUCGUUGAAAACCCGGACACUCAACGUGGCUGGCAGUUGGACCAGUAGACCUGAAAAGAACCAAAUUACCAUGUUUACUUACGUUCCCCUUUUACGUAUUUCCUUACUGUAACCGGGAAAUUCUGAUAGUGGAAAUUUUCAGCACAUAAUAGGACUUAUUUAUGUAAUUAGAGAUUUGUUUUGUCAUCCAGGGUUAAUUUUCAUUUGAUUCCACCUCAUAGUAAUCAAUAUUUUAAAGUUGUUUUAUUUUUUGUUUACAGCUCUGUGCUAGCUGUUUUUGUUUUGUUUUGUUUUGUUCUGUUUUGUUUCUGUUUGGGCCUCCUUCCAUCUAUAAAACUAUAUGAAGUACCGUGAAUUAAGGUACUUGAACGAAUACAACUUGCCAGUUUUUAAUAGAUGAAGACGCAGCUCUGAGUAUUACAAAGCUGCUUUAAAGAUGUAACCAUUCUCUAAAAAUGUAUAACACGAGAGACCCAUCUUCCCUAUUUUAUUUCUUUCAUUUUAAAUGAUAAAAAAAAAAUCAUGUUCCUUUUAUGAGAUGAAGUACAUCGAACUUGGGAAAGAUUUACAUGAGCAAGGGACAUUUUGGAAGUGAUUUCUUCUUUCAGAAGGAGAGGAAUUCAAAGUCUCUUCCUCUGCUGAGUUCAUAGUUCAAUGAGAGAUUUCAAGUUUUUUUCUGUGUUCUAUCAUUUUUUUUCCCUGAAAACUAUUUUCAAAAAACUGAAAAUAAAAUCAUAGACUUUUCUUCUAACAAAAUUUGUUACUAGGAAUUUAUACCUAAGAAAUAAUUUUCUAAGACUAUUUCACAUUGGGGAUUACAUGCUAACAGUGAGCUACCUUUAGUAGGCUUAAGGCCUUAUGUGGGGCAGGGCGGAGAUUUUUAUAGAUUAAGAGCAGAGGUAUAAAAGAAACAGUUAGCAA